rnacentral:rRNA from 1 species
GAUGAACGCUGGCGGCGUGCUUAACACAUGCAAGUCGAACGAUGAAGCCCAGCUUGCUGGGUGGAUUAGUGGCGAACGGGUGAGUAACACGUGAGCAACCUGCCCCUGACUCUGGGAUAAGCGCUGGAAACGGCGUCUAAUACUGGAUAUGUCCCGUCACCGCAUGGGGUGCGGGUGGAAAGAUUUUUCGGUUGGGGAUGGGCUCGCGGCCUAUCAGCUUGUUGGUGGGGUAAUGGCUCACCAAGGCGUCGACGGGUAGCCGGCCUGAGAGGGUGACCGGCCACACUGGGACUGAGACACGGCCCAGACUCCUACGGGAGGCAGCAGUGGGGAAUAUUGCACAAUGGGCGGAAGCCUGAUGCAGCAACGCCGCGUGAGGGAUGACGGCCUUCGGGUUGUAAACCGCUUUUAGCAGGGAAGAAGCGAAAGUGACGGUACCUGCAGAAAAAGCACCGGCUAACUACGUG